rnacentral:rRNA from 1 species
AGUUUGAUCAUGGCUCAGAACGAACGAUGGCGGCAGGCCUAACACAUGCAAGUCGAGCGCCCCGCAAGGGGAGCGGCGGACGGGUGAGUAACGCGUGGGAACGUACCCUUUGCUACGGAAUAGCCUCGGGAAACUGGGAGUAAUACCGUAUGUGCCCUUCGGGGGAAAGAUUUAUCGGCAAAGGAUCGGCCCGCGUUGGAUUAGGUAGUUGGUGGGGUAAUGGCCUACCAAGCCGACGAUCCAUAGCUGGUUUGAGAGGAUGAUCAGCCACACUGGGACUGAGACACGGCCCAGACUCCUACGGGAGGCAGCAGUGGGGAAUCUUAGACAAUGGGCGCAAGCCUGAUCUAGCCAUGCCGCGUGAGCGAUGAAGGCCUUAGGGUUGUAAAGCUCUUUCAGUGGGGAAGAUAAUGACUGUACCCACAGAAGAAGCCCCGGCUAACUCCGUG